rnacentral:rRNA from 1 species
AUCUACAUUUUCCUGUGUUGAUCCUGCCGGACCUGACUGCUAUCGGAUUGGUACUAAGCCAUGCGAGUCGUUGUAGCAAUACAAGGCGGACUGCUCAGUAACACGUAGUUAACUUAACCUAUGGAUGGGCAUAACCUCGGGAAACUGAGAAUAAUACCCAAUGGACCACAGUGCCUGGAAUGGCCUGUGGUUGAAAUGAUUUAUCGCCGUAGGAUAGGACUGCGGCCUAUCAGCUUGUUGGUGAGGUAAUGGCCCACCAAGGCUAUAACAGGUACGGGCUCUGAGAGGAGGGGCCCGGAGAUGGGUACUGAGACACGGACCCAGGCCCUAUGGGGCGCAGCAGGCGAGAAACCUUUGCAAUGUGCGAAAGCACGACAAGGUUAAUCCGAGUGUCUCCUGCUAAAGGAGUCUUUUGUCAGUUGUAGAAUCACUGGUGAAUAAGGGGUGGGCAAGUUCUGGUGUCAGCCGCCGCGGUAAAACCAGCACCUCGAGUGGUCAGGAGGUUUAUUGGGCCUAAAGCAUCCGUAGCCGGUUGCAUAAGUUUUCGGUUAAAUCUAUGCGCUUAACGUAUAGGCCGCCGAAAAUACUGUGCAGCUAGGGAGUGGCAGAGUACCGGUAUCCAUAGGAGGGGUAAAUCUUGAU